AGCAAAGGGGGCAGCAUCUGAGUCUGGGUGUGCUUCCUUGAGGGUGUGGGGGUGAGUUCUUCUGUAUUGGAGGGCUGUGAUCUACCCCUUUGCUGGGGGUUCAUAGCUGCAUUUUGGGGCUGGCAGCCAUCUGUACCUGGAAACUGCUUCUUUGGGGGAGCGAGUGAGUAUUGGUCCUUGGAAUGGGUUCCCUUGCUUCUGGAUUGCUUCAAUGAGCCCUAAUGAUGCUGAUUGGCUGACUGAGCGCUGCGGUUCUGGACACGUUUGCAGCUCAGUGGGUUUUAAGGAUUGUUGGGACUCCUCUAAUCGGUGGUGUGAGGCCUGUGGAGCAGCUAAUGGAACAUCACGACUAUGCUGACUUCCCCAGGGUCUUACGGUCAUUUCUGUUUCACCAGCAGAUCUGGGUGGCAGCAGAGAGCUGCAGCGCUCCCGAGUGCUGUAAGGACUGCACGGAGAGAUGUGCAGGUCUUCACGGGAACAGCCAGGAACCGAAAGCUGCAUUUCCUGGGAUGCCCUGGAACUCCACUUUGCUGACUGGUAAUUGUCUGCCCAGCAGGUGGCAGCAGAGAGCUGCAGCACUCCCGAGUGCUGUAAGGACUGCACGGAGAGAUGUGCAGGUCUUCACGGGAACAGCCAGGAACCGAAAGCUGCAUUUCCCGGGAUGCCCUGGAACUCCACUUUGCUGACUGGUAAUUGUCUGCCCAGCAGGCAGGUCUUCAAUGAAGAUAUUGGACAGAACAGGCCUGAAGAGCACUCAGGAUGGCAUACCAGCUGCAUUUAACACGAUCGGAGCAGCACUCAUUAGGCCAGGCGGUUCAGCUAGUUCUUCAUCUAGCAAGCAACGUACCCGUCCAAGUAGCCGGCUGCAAUCUUUGAGAGAAUUUCGAGGGAUAGCACAUCAAAGGGUUUGCCUCACUCAUGGGGUUGGGUCACCUUCGCUUUGAGUUUGCUAGCGUGGCUGACCCUAAUCCCGUAACUGACAUCCUGUAGCUGGACAGGGACCAUUCGCACUCCAUCCAGUCUGUUUGAGACUCACGGCCAUGCUGAGAGUCACGCUGAUUUCAGCGCGUGCAGUCAUUUUGCAUCAACCCAAUUGGCUUUAGCUUUACAAAUAAUUUAUCUCAACCAAAUUGGCUUUAGCUUUGCAGUUAAUGCAUUGCAACUAAGUUGGCUUUAGCUUUGCCUUGCUUACGGGGUUGGGUUAGCUUUGCUUUGUUUGUUUGUACCGCAGGGCUAACCCAACCCCGUAACCAACGCCCGAGGCCUUUGGAGCCCAUUUGCGCUCCUUCCCGGCCAGUCUGAGACUCGCGCCCCUUUGCGCGGCCAUUCUGAGAGUUGCGCCGAUUUUGGCAUGUGCAGUCAAUUGAUCUUGCCCAAAUUGGCUUUAGCUUUGCAAUCAAUUGAUCUCAGCCAAAUUGGCUUUAGCUUUGCCUUGCUUACGGGGUUGGGUUAGCUUUGCUUUGUUUGUUUGUACCGCAGGGCUAACCCAACCCCGUAACCAACGCCCGAGGCCUUCGGAGCCCAUUUGCGCUCCUUCCCGGCCAGUCUGAGACUCGCGCCCCUUUGCGCGGCCAUUCUGAGAGUUGCGCCGAUUUUGGCAUGUGCAGUCAAUUGAUCUUGCCCAAAUUGGCUUUAGCUUUGCAAUCAAUUGAUCUCAGCCAAAUUGGCUUUAGCUUUGCCUUGCUUACGGGGUUGGGUUAGCUUUGCUUUGUUUGUUUGUACCGCAGGGCUAACCCAACCCCGUAACCAACGCCCGAGGCCUUCGGAGCCCAUUUGCGCUCCUUCCCGGCCAGUCUGAGACUCAUGCCCCUUUGCACAGGCCAUUCUGAGAGUUGCUGCCGAUUUUGGCAUGUGCAGUCAAUUGAUCUUGCCCAAAUUGGCUUUAGCUUUGCAAUCAAUUGAUCUCAGCCAAAUUGGCUUUAGCUUUGCCUUGCUUACGGGGUUGGGUUAGCUUUGCUUUGUUUGUUUGUACCGCAGGGCUAACCCAACCCCGUAACCAACGCCCGAGGCCUUCGGAGCCCAUUUGCGCUCCUUCCCGGCCAGUCUGAGACUCACGCCCCUUUGCGCGGCCAUUCUGAGAGUUGCGCCGAUUUUGGCAUGUGCAGUCAAUUGAUCUUGCCCAAAUUGGCUUUAGCUUUGCAAUCAAUUGAUCUCAGCCAAAUUGGCUUUAGCUUUGCCUUGCUUACGGGGUUG
ensembl:lncRNA